GCAGUACUGGUUCAGUGGUAGAAUUCUUGCCUUUCAUGUGGGAGACCUGGGUUAAAUUCCCUGCCGAUGCA
rnacentral:tRNA from 1 species